rnacentral:rRNA from 1 species
GGUUAAAAGCUCGUAGUUGGAUUUCUGUUGAGGACGGCCGGUCCGCACUAUGUGCGUGUAUCUGGUUCGGCCUUGGCAUCCUCUUGAGGAACGUAUCUACGCUUGAUUGCGUGGAGCGGUAUUCAAGACUUUUACUUUGAGGAAAUUAGAGUGUUCACGGCAGGCAAGCGCCCUGAAUAUAUUAGCAUGGAAUAAUAAUAUAGGAUCUUGGUUCUAUUUUGUUGGUUUCUAGAGCUAAGGUAAUGAUUAAUAGGGAUAAUUGGGGGCAUUUGUAUUAACGCGUCAGAGGUGGAAUUCUUGGAUUGCGUUACGACAAACUACUGCGAAAGCAUUUGCCAAGGAUGUUUUCAUUGAUCAAGAACGAAAGUAUGGGGAUCGAAGAUGAUUAGAUACCGUCGUAGUCUAUACCAUAAACUAUGCCGACUAGGGAUUGGAGGUCGUUCUUUUUAUGACUCCUUCAGCACCUUAUGAGAAAUCAAAGUCUUUGGGUUCCGGGGGGAGUAUAGUCGCAAGGCUGAAACUUAAAGGAAUUGACGGAAGGGCACCACCAGGAGUGGAGCCUGCGGCUUAAUUUGACUCAACACGGGGAAACUCACCAGGUUCAGACAUAGUAAGGAUUGACAGAUUGAUAACUCUUUCUGGAUUCUAUGGGUGGUGGU